GCCGGCGUAGCUCAAUUGGUAGAGCAACUGACUUGUAAUCAGUAGGUUGCGGGUUCGAGUCCCAUCGUCGGCU
rnacentral:tRNA from 1 species